AUUAAGGUGGCAGAGUGGCAAUUGCAUAAAACUUAAGAUUUUAAAUCCAGAGGUUCAAAUCCUCUCCUUAAGA
rnacentral:tRNA from 1 species